UUGUUGGUAAGGUAAAAGCUUACCAAGGCUUCGAUCAGUAGCUGGUCUGAGAGGACGACCAGCCACACUGGGACUGAGACACGGCCCAGACUCCUACGGGAGGCAGCAGUGGGGAAUUUUGGACAAUGGGGGCAACCCUGAUCCAGCCAUGCCGCGUGAGUGAAGAAGGCCUUCGGGUUGUAAAGCUCUUUCAGCCGGAACGAAACGGUUACGGAUAACACCCGUGACUACUGACGGUACCGGAAGAAGAAGCACCGGCUAACUACGUGCCAGCAGCCGCGGUAAUACGUAGGGUGCGAGCGUUAAUCGGAAUUACUGGGCGUAAAGCGUGCGCAGGUGGUUUUGUAAGUCAGAUGUGAAAGCCCCGGGCUCAACCUGGGAACUGCGUUUGAAACUACAAGACUAGAGUGUGGCAGAGGGGGGUGGAAUUCCGCGUGUAGCAGUGAAAUGCGUAGAGAUGUGGAGGAACACCGAUGGCGAAGGCAGCCCCCUGGGUCAACACUGACGCUCAGGCACGAAAGCAUGGGGAGCAAACAGGAUUAGAUACCCUGGUAGUCCAUGCCCUAAACGAUGUCAACUAGUUGUCGGGCCUUUACGGGCUUGGUAACGUAGCUAACGCGUGAAGUUGACCGCCUGGGGAGUACGAUCGCAAGAUUAAAACUCAAAUGAAUUGACGGGGACCCGCACAAGCGGUGGAUUAUGUGGAUUAAUUCGAUGCAACGCGAAAAACCUUACCUACCCUUGACAUGUAUCGAAGCCCGCAGAAAAGCCGGGGUGCCCGAAAGGGAACGAUAACACAGGUGCUGCAUGGCUGUCGUCAGCUCGUGUCGUGAGAUGUUGGGUUAAGUCCCGCAACGAGCGCAACCCUUGUCAUUAAUUGCCAUCAUUUGGUUGGGCACUUUAAUGAGACUGCCGG
rnacentral:rRNA from 1 species